AACGAACGCUGGCGGCAUGCCUAACACAUGCAAGUCGAACGAGACCUCCGGGUUUGGUGGCGCACGGGUGCGUAAAGCGUGGGAAACUGCGCUUGGGUUCGGAAUAACUCUCCGAGAGGGGUGCUAAUAACGGAUAAUGUCUUCGGACAAAAGAUUUAUCGCCUUUGGAUGGGCCCGCGUUGGUUUGGUUAGUUGGUAGGGUAAAAGCCUCCAAAGGCGACGAUCCAUAGCUGGUUGGUGAGGAGGAUCAGCCACACUGGGACUCGGACACGGCCCAGACUCGUGCGGGAGGCAGGAGUGAGUGAUAUAGGACAAUGGGCGUAAGGCUGAGCCAGCGAGGCCGCGAGAGUGAUGUAGGCCUUAGGGAUGUAAAGCUCUAUGAACCGAGAUGUUAAUGACAGUACCGGGAGAAUAAGCUCCGGCUAACUCCGUG
rnacentral:rRNA from 1 species